GCGAAGAAACUUACAACAAAGAGUCCCUCCCGACUGUUUACCAAAAACACAGCACUCUGCUAACUCGUAAGAGGAUGUAUAGGGUGUGACGCCUGCCCGGUGCUCGAAGGUUAAUUGAUGGGGUUAGCAUUAGCGAAGCUCUUGAUCGAAGCCCGAGUAAACGGCGGCCGUAACUAUAACGGUCCUAAGGUAGCGAAAUUCCUUGUCGGUUAAAUACCGACCUGCAUGAAUGGCGUAACGAGAUGGGAGCUGUCUCAAAGAGGGAUCCAGUGAAAUUGUAGUGGAGGUGAAAAUUCCUCCUACCCGCGGCAAGACGGAAAGACCCCGUGGACCUUUACUACAGCUUGACACUGCUACUUGGAUAAGAAUGUGCAGGAUAGGUGGGAGGCUUUGAGUAUAUGACGCCAGUUGUAUAUGAGCCAUUGUUGAGAUACCACUCUUUCUUAUUUGGGUAGCUAACCAGCUUGAGUUAUCCUCAAGUGGGACAAUGUCUGGUGGGUAGUUUGACUGGGGCGGUCGCCUCCCAAAUAAUAACGGAGGCUUACAAAGGUUGGCUCAGAACGGUUGGAAAUCGUUCGUAGAGUAUAAAGGUAUAAGCCAGCUUAACUGCAAGACAUACAAGUCAAGCAGAGACGAAAGUCGGUCUUAGUGAUCCGGUGGUUCUGUGUGGAAGGGCCAUCGCUCAAAGGAUAAAAGGUACCCCGGGGAUAACAGGCUGAUCUCCCCCAAGAGCUCACAUCGACGGGGAGGUUUGGCACCUCGAUGUCGGCUCAUCGCAUCCUGGGGCUGGAGCAGGUCCCAAGGGUAUGGCUGUUCGCCAUUUAAAGCGGUACGCGAGCUGGGUUCAGAACGUCGUGAGACAGUUCGGUCCCUAUCUGCCGUGGGCGUAAGAAGAUUGAAGAGAUUUGACCCUAGUACGAGAGGACCGGGUUGAACAAACCACUGGUGUAGCUGUUGUUCUGCCAAGAGCAUCGCAGCGUAGCUAAGUUUGGAAAGGAUAAACGCUGAAAGCAUCUAAGCGUGAAGCCAACUCUAAGAUGAAUCUUCUCUAAGCUCUCUAGAAGACUACUAGUUUGAUAGGCUGGGUGUGUAAUGGAUGAAAGUCCUUUAGCUGACCAGUACUAAUAGAGCGUUUGGCUUAUCUUUAAUAAAGCAU
rnacentral:rRNA from 1 species